rnacentral:misc_RNA from 1 species
CAGAGUCCGCAAGCAGUAGUUUGGCCAUCAUGCAUUCCACUCCUCCCCCCGAGACGGAUGUGAACGGGUUGGCGUCGGCGCGCAAGCGCCCCCGGUCGCCUGCUGUGGCCGAUUCGCUGGGAUUACCUUUGCGAGGCCUCCCGCGCCACACACCACCUGUGUUGCUUACGAAUGCGGACGCUGCGUUGAGCGACGCAACUGCCGCCGGAUGGAGCAUCGUGCAGCAGCGCUUCGCUGCCGCUCAAUGGCGCCGCGGCUGCUUUUAUUUGUCGCUUCAAGCACCAUCUGAGCCGCCAGCCUCGUCACGCCCACGCCGGUCCGCGCCGACAGGAGCGCCUGGUGAAGAGGAAGCAACAGCGAUAGGUGCGGCUGAGGCCAAGGCAGCUGUCGCAGCACGUUACAUACAGCCUCACCCAUGGAAAGUUCUCCGCAGCAUCCAUGGCGGCAGCGCGUUGAGGACUGUUUUCCUUCCGAGGGUGAAGGGUGCUCUGGUGCCACCAGCAGCUUUCCUGCCCGCCUUUCUGGCUCCGCCGGCGAUGGUGCAGCUGGAAACAUGGAACACCUAUUGGGAGGCGUACUCCACGUGCUGUGCGGAUGAGCUGGAGGGGUUGUCUAAGCAGUUGGAGGCACCACCGUCUACCGCAGGGUACCGCCGCGUGCUUCUCACAGUAUCCGCGCCCGCCUUCCCAUCGUUGUCGACACCACCGACCAUCGCCACCAGCAGCGCCACCACUGCGUCUAGUGCCCACAAUCAUCUCCCGGUGCUGAAGGGCGGCCCUCCUCUUUCGGUUUUUCCGUCGUGGGGCAAAGACAGCAAGGUUGCCGAGCCGCAGAUGCAUUCCUCUCUCUUCUCUUUGUCCUCCCCCUCCGUGCUACCUUCACGUCCGCUGCCGCACUCCCACGAGGCGUCUGUGUCAUCGUGCUCGCACUCGUACUCGUAUACCUCCCACAGCCGAAGUAGCGGCGACGCCGUCAGUGCUGUCAAGGCUGCACACGCCGACGACUGCAUCGCUGCACUGUCGUUCCUGCCUUGCGUGCUGGAUGACCUCCUGUACCACUACGCGCAUCGCUUUGGUGCCGUCGAGCACCUCGAGACGCGCGAAAGCAGCGCAUCUGCAGGCGCCCCCUCCACCGCCACAGCUCGCGUGAUUGUGAGCGUGCAAUUCACGACCGCCGAAGCGGCCGGCGUGUUUCUCCGCUGGGCGGAUGGCGUCUCUGUAGCGGAUAUCAUCGCAUCCUAUCGGCGAGACACACAGGCAUCCGUGACGCUAAGCGAGGGCCACCUCUCCCCUGCGCGGAGCGAAAACGUGGUAGGGACGCUGGCAAGUGACGGAGCCACUGGUCUAGCCAUGGAGGAGACAACAAAGCCGCAGGGCGAGCUUGACUGUGGUGACGCGGCAUGGUGGGAUGCGCUGGAAGAAGCUUCCCGGCGGCAGCGGCUAUGUCUCAUCGCGAAGCCAGCCCCGCACGACCCACGCCGCAUCACUGCGAAGCUGCUGCUCGGGCCGAAUGUGAUGGUGUCGACGCCGCUGGUGAAGAGCUUGUUCACCGGUCUGUUCGACACGACAUGCAUGGAGUACCGCGCCGAGUUGAGAGCCUUCUGCAUUGAAUUCGCGAACAAGAAGGAGUGUCGCUUGGCUCUGCACGCACUCCAGUGCUCGCUUUGGCGGGUGUUCGGCGUCUCUCUCAUCUUCACGUAGCUCGCCCCCUUCUCGUUUUAUUUAUGUACUUGUGGCUGUCUUCGUGUUUCCAACUGUUCCCCCUCCCCCCACCCUCACGGCUGCGAUAAGGGGUAUGGUUUGAUGCUUCGCGCUCCGCUUUUUGUACUAGUCACGAUCGCACGUGCCCACAUGUGCACUCACA